GACAGAGGUGCCAAGCGUUAGGCGGAAUCACUGGGCUUAAAGCGUGUGUAGGCGGGUCGCUAAGUACCUUGUGAAAUCCCCCGGCUCAACCGGGGAACGGCUGGGUAUACUGGCGAUCUUGAGCGACCUAGGGGCAGUCGGAACAAGUGGUGGAGCGGUGAAAUGCGUAGAUAUCACUUGGAACGCCAAUGGUGAAAACAGACUGCCGGGGGUUCGCUGACGCUGAGACACGAAAGCCAGGGGAGCAAACGGG
rnacentral:rRNA from 1 species